rnacentral:rRNA from 1 species
AUGUCUGAGAAACUGCCUGAUGUAGGCGCGAUAACAUAGCUGGAAACGGUAGCUAAUACCGCAUAACGUCGCAAGACCAAAGUGGGGGACCUUCGGGCCUCAUGCCAUCAGAUGUGCCCAGAUGGGAUUAGCUAGUAGGUGGGGUAACGGCUCACCUAGGCGACGAUCCCUAGCUGGUCUGAGAGGAUGACCAGCCACACUGGAACUGAGACACGGUCCAGACUCCUACGGGAGGCAGCAGUGGGGAAUAUUGCACAAUGGGCGCAAGCCUGAUGCAGCCAUGCCGCGUGUGUGAAGAAGGCCUUCGGGUUGUAAAGUACUUUCAGCGGGGAGGAAGGCGAUAAGGUUAAUAACCUUGUCGAUUGACGUUACCCGCAGAAGAAGCACCGGCUAACUCCGUGCCAGCAGCCGCGGUAAUACGGAGGGUGCAAGCGUUAAUCGGAAUUACUGGGCGUAAAGCGCACGCAGGCGGUCUGUCAAGUCGGAUGUGAAAUCCCCGGGCUCAACCUGGGANACUGCAUUCGAAACUGGCAGGCUAGAGUCUUGUAGAG